AAGAUAUAGAAAAUGUUUACUUUCUGUUGAAUUUAAAAUGUUAAUGUGUGAAUGUUUUAAUUUAAUAUUGUUUGAAUGUUAUUGUGUGAUUCUCCUCUUUCCUUCUUUACGAUUACGUGAUCGAUCAUCCCACCUCACAUGGUAUCAGAGCUUUUGAAGCUGAUCGACGGGUGAUAGUGAGGAUAAGGCUCUGGUAGUUUUGUUUGCGAAAUUCUCUCAUUCUCGUGCGAUAGUGAGGAUAAAAUAUAAAGAUUUGUUUUCCCAUGAGAUGAGGUAGCCUGUCAGUUGGUCAUUCAGUUCAGAGCAGUCACCAUACCUAGCUCAUAAUAAGCGCAACAUAGUCGUUGGACCCCCCUUGGAAGUGUUGGAUCGAGAUCCGAGGCUAUAAGAGGGGAUAAUAGCCUCUUUUCGAUUAAUGCAAGUUAAUAGCGGAAUUACCUGCACACACUUAAGUACACAAAUGGUUGUAUAAUAAUAAUAGUAUAAUAUUUUUAGCAAUAUAAUACUAUUAUAUAAUUUUAAAGAAUAUAAUAUUAUAUCUUAUAAUAUUAUAUAUUGGACUUGCCUUUUUUGCUCUUUAAGUUUACUACAGUAUAUGAAUACGUAGUCAACUUUUCAGAUGGUGUUUUAUAAACAACUAUAGUAUAUGAAUACUAAGUUAUAUUAUAAACACAAGUUAUAUUAUAGAGUAAAUGACCAGAUAACUAGAUAUAUUGAUAAGCAAGUAAAUGACCAGAUAACUGGAUAUAUUGAUAAACAAGUAGAUGACCAGAUAACUGGAUAUAUAUGAUAAGUAAAUGCUUGAACACAUAUGAAUAAAGCAAUGAAUAUAACCUCAGAUGGUUGACCAGAUAACUGGAUGAGGGAUCUACGUAAAGUAGUCAACCUCUGUAUUUGACCAGAUAACUGGAAGAGGGAUCUUUUUAAUUAAGUGUUGUUUUUAGAUAAAAGAUAAAACUAUAAUUAACAGAGAACAACACAAGAGAUUUAUACUGGUUCACCCAAACAAGGGCUAGUCCAGUCCCGACCAACUGCCGGAAUUCACUCGCCUAAAGGUAAUGGCAAAACCUUAGAGUAUCAAGGAAACUCUUAAGAACCUCUCUAAGCUUUAAGGCUACUUCGCUUAGGAACCAGUCUUUUACGGGUAGACUCACACCUUAGAGUAUCAAGGGCACUCUUAAGAACCUCUAACUUUUACGGGUAAGUUAGUACCUUAAAGUAUCAAGGAACUCUUAAAAACCUCUCUAAGCUUUAAGGCUACUUCGCUUAGGAACCAGUCUUUUACGGGUAGACUCACACCUUAGAGUAUCAAGGGCACUCUUAAGAACCUCUAACUUUUACGGGUAAGUUAGUACCUUAGAGUAUCAAGGAACUCUUAAAAACCUCUGAAAUCUUUAAAGGUAGACUCAACCUAAGAGUUUUCCCGGAAACUCUAUAAAACCAAACUAGAGCUUUAUGGUUGAGCUCACAAACCUUCUCUCACACUUUGGUACUAUUGAGACAACCCUCUCAACCAAAGUGGAGACACACAAGAGGUGAUUAGAGGAGUGGAAUAUUAAAGCAAACAACACUUCUUACUUGUAAAGAUGAACAAGAAGAUUAGAAGAAGAAGUUGGAGAGCUUUUGAAGCUUUGGAAAGCUAUGACACUUGAGCACUUGAAAGCUUGGAAGCUUGGAGGCAAAAACGUGUGGGCAAGUGUGGAGUGAAAGCUCUUGAGUUUGCU
rnacentral:lncRNA from 1 species